rnacentral:ncRNA from 2 species
AACAAGCCAGACCACGCUGGUUCCGUGCGGCAGACUCCGUCUGGCGCAAGGCGAAGAGGGAAUGCGACAGGAUCGAUCCGAACCAGGUUCGAUCCGAAGCGCAGCCGCCCCCGCGACCGUUACCGGAAAGAUCGCUCCAUGCCACUGGGCCCAGGCCCGGGAAGGCGGCGCGAUCGCUGGGGAAACCCUGAAUCCGCGAGCCGGGAGACCUGCCAGCGCCGAUUUGAAUGG